rnacentral:rRNA from 1 species
UUAUCCUACGGGACGCAGCAGUGGGGAAUAUUGCACAAUGGGGGAAACCCUGAUGCAGCAACGCCGCGUGAGCGAUGACGGCCUUCGGGUUGUAAAGCUCUGUCUUCAGGGACGAUAAUGACGGUACCUGAGGAGGAAGCCACGGCUAACUACGUGCCAGCAGCCGCGGUAAUACGUAGGUGGCGAGCGUUGUCCGGAGUUACUGGGUGUAAAGGGAGCGUAGGCGGGACUGCAAGUUGGGUGUCAAAUCUACCGGCUCAACCGGUAGCCGCACUCAAAACUGCAGUUCUUGAGUGAAGUAGAGG